rnacentral:siRNA from 1 species
UUUGUACACACCGCCCGUCGC